rnacentral:lncRNA from 1 species
GGAUUUUCCAAGCAAGAGUACUGGAGUGGGGUGCCACUGCCUUCUCCGAACGUUACCCCAGUGGGCCCUGAAUUUGAGGCGGUGACACGUUUUGAGAUCUGGAGCGGGCGGCGAGGGGGACCGGCGCCUGGGCCCCGGUUCUGACCUGGCCGUUUCCUCCAGGCAGGCCGCGCCGGCUCCGCACUCGUGGGCGGAGGCCCCACGGCCGACGUAAGGCAGCGACUUCGAGACUCUAAAUCUGCACGGUCGGGCACAAAGGCAGGCGGCGGUGGAGCCAGGACUACCACCGGAGCCCUCAGACAGGAAAAAAGUGUGCGAAGAGCAGGGCCGAGCGCACAAGCGGGAAGCUGGAGGAAAGCCCCGGAGGCGCUGCGUGGGGAAGAGGCGAGGGAGCGUGGCUUCCCGCUCAACUACGCGCUUCUCUGGCUCCCUGCUGCAAGUGCCGGCCCCGGACUGUGCGUUCCUUUCGCCUGUGGGGAUCUUGGCGACCCCCAGAGGCCUCUCGGGGUGCUGCCCGGGCCUGGCGUUCCCGCGGUUGUCGGCCACCGCUCCCGCCUCGGGCCGCUCGUCUCCUCCCUCUAACGGCCUCAGGCCGCGGCCGGCGUCCGCGGCGAGGGUGACGUCGGCGUGGGGGCGGGACUUCCUGCUUCGCGCGCCCUUGGGUCUCGGUACCGAGUCCGCUCCGUGGGGUUUGCGGGGCGGCGGGCCGGGGGUGCCUUUGCGGCCGGACUUCGGCGCGGGCCCCGCACCCCUGAGAACGCCGGUCCGCCGAGGAGGAGCGGGGCUUUUUUCCAUCGCCGCCCUCUCUGCCUUUGGAGCUCUCCCGGGACACCCCGCAUUUCCCUAG